rnacentral:lncRNA from 1 species
CUUCUCAGAUCAUAAUAUCGUGUCAACCAUAAAACAAUGACGAUUGAUCUUUGACGAUCAGCCCAUAACUCAAACGUGACGUGGUGGCUCCGGGACAAUGAACAAAGGUGGUGAUAUCACAACGGUGGCUCUCGGUGCUGGAUUGUUCAUGGGGCACGGACGGUGGCUGGUGAUGAUGAGAUUGACAAGGGUAUGGGUUCGCUGAGCAUAACAUCUCCAUUGGCGGCGCACGUCUUUAGGUUUUAGGUAGGAGGAGAUAUUUACACAAUAUAUAGUUGCAGAAUAUUGGUCAAAAUCGAGAAAGGUUAGGGAAAUUAUAACUAAAAUUAAAUCCCACCGGUUUACCCAAAACCGGAUCGUUACAAUUCUCCCACACUUAUAAAGAAUUCGUCUUCGAAUUCAAAUCCUGAGCCCGUUAUCCAAUACCAUCCUGAGAAAGAUUUGGAUAGGUAAUCAUCAUCUGAAUCUCGAUUUUUCUCCUCCUGGAUCUUGUCUCUCUCUCUCAACAAACUUUGACGAACAUGGUCUUCAUUAUCUGAGCCGCUUUUUACUUUCCGAUUCAUAAUCUCCACUGGAUGGGUAGGUGUAGACAACUUUUUUUUUUUUUUUACUGAGAUCACUCGGUGGCUUGUGCAAAAUGAGCUUUGGCUCUCUCACGUCCUUCCUCAACUCUGACACAUGAAACACAUCAUGAAAGUCUGACAGCUCUGGUGAUAACUGCAAUCUAAAAGCUAUUGCUCAAAUCAGCUCCACAAAGGUACGGUCCCAUAUACGCAGCUUAGGCUUUCUUUUUUUUUUCUUUUUCUUUUAGCUUUUGGAUUUUAGAUCUUCUCUGAGAUAUCCUCAUUUUCAGGUAUAAUAAGUCUCCCACCUCAAUUUUAAAAAUCUUUCUGGCGCUUAUCUGCAGAAUUCUUUAAACAAAUUUUUUUUUCUUUUUUGAGCAUCUUCAUUAGUUCUACCGUCUCUUGAACCAUUAAUAGUUUUAACUCACGUCGCUCCCCCACUUUGGUCCAACAAAGUGGUGUACAUCAAGGCCUACCAUAAAGAAUCUCAUAUGGUGAAAUCUCAAUGCUCGAAUGAUAGCUGUCGAUGUAAGAAAACUCUGCUAUAUGUAGAUGCUCAAAAUAGUCCUCUUUGACUGACAAUCUGCGGUUGAUAAAUUGUACUCUUAUGGACCUUUGUCCUUCUGAAAGGCUCUCUAAAAUGCAGACGUAAACUUCCAAUCGCGAUAUGAUACAAUGAUGACAUAAACACCAAGCAACUUCACAAUCACGCUGAUGUAAAUCUGUACCAACUGAUCAACUCUGUGUGUCUUCUUAACUACUAGGAAAUUGGUUGACUUGGUAAAUAUAUCCAUGGCUACACAUAUGGCAUCCUUCCCACAUGUGGUGAUCGACAAUCCAGUAAACAACAUCCAUAAUCACCAUGCCUUAUUUCCACUCCAGAAAAAGCAAGCUCAACAAUAACCUGAAAGGUAUCAGAUCCUCUGACAUAACCAUCUGACAUGUCUGAUAACACGACACAAUGUAGCUAUAAUCUUUUUCAUACUGAGCCAAUGAUAAAAACACUUCAUAUUUUUGUAUCCGUUAAUGUUUCCCGGGUGGAUAGAAAAACGCGAGUGAUGUGUUUGCUGUAAGAUCCCUUUUCUUAACAUCUUAUCGUCCAACACACAAACUCGGUUUUGGUACAUGUACAUCCUGCUCAAAAUUGUAUGAUAUCCAAUACUCCCAAUCUCGAUCUGCUUAACCAAAGUCGCAUCGCUAUCUCGUGCUUGGCGUAUCCUCCAUGAAAAUAUGCCUGCUCCAAGGUCUCAAGGCCAUCUAUUUCUCUCUCAACAGUAAUGACACACAAUCUGAGAUUAGUAAUUGUCCCUGUAAAUUCAUGAACCUUUUUGGUUCCCAAUACGUCGCUCACGGGCCCACUUAAGGCAUCUUCCAACUGGUUGGGCUUACCAAAUAGUAUGCGGUAUCCAAACUGUAGUCUGUUACCAACUCAAUCCAACUUCACUGUCUAAGUAAAAGUCCUAAGAAGCGAAGAUAUAUUGCAAACUGAUGAUCCCAAAGAAUCUGGACUUCCUUCCCAUACAAUUAUGGUCUCCAAAACUAUAAUGCCACUAUCACUGCAGCCUCUCUGGUGUGAUGCAUAUGCAAUGACCUGAUCUCCCUACAUCAAUCCACAACCCAAGCCAGUAUUGACACAUCUUAGUAAACCUCAGUCUCAGUAUAACCAAAAUUGGUGUCUUCGUCAGCUGUGCUUUAAUUCAGUGAACUCCUCGAACAAAACUUUUCCAAUCCCACUUGACGUCAUUACAUGUAGACCGCUUCUCCAACAUUACUAUACUGGGAAAACCCUAGAUGAACUUCUAGUAGUACCCUGCUAACCCAAAAGCUGCGGAUCUAUGUAGUCGAUACAAAUUCUGAAACUCCAAUCUUCCCUCUUCACAAUCAAUAAUGAUGCUCCCCACGGUGAAGUACUCGGUCUGAUAAAAUCCAUGUCUGAUGAAUCUUCCAUAUGUUCUUUCAGCUCGGUCAUCUCUGCUGCCGCUAAUUGGUAUAGAACUCGUGAAACCGGUGAUGACCCUGACUCCAACUCGAUCGUACUCAUGUCUGAUGAAUCUUCCAUAUGUUCUUUCAGCUCGGUCAUCUCUGCUGCCGAUAAUUGGUAUAGAACUCGUGAAACCGGUGAUGACCCUGACUCCAACUCGAUCGUACGAACAGCUCCUCUUGCUGGUGACAACUCUUCCAAAGGCCUCAAAUAUAUCUCCAUACUAUGCAAUAACUCUAAGAUCCUGCAACUCAUGUUGUCCAUCAUCCUUAAACAUCGAACUGAUCACCAAAAUUCCAUUUACUCCUAUAUCCAAUAUUUCCUCAGCAUGUAGCAUGUAGACAAUACAAACUCUCAUCGGAUCCAGGAAUAAGAACUCUUGCCCUCAAGCAAAUCAACACUACGUGAUGUCAUGACAGCCAAUCCUUCUCAAGAAUGACAUCGCAUAAACUCAGCUCCAUCUCUGGCGAAUCUUCGAAUAACUCGACUCCUCCAUGCAUAAAUGGUACAACUCGUAUGUAAAUAGCUCCCAAUGUUCUAUGUCAGCUGUCCGAACUGACACACCUCUGAAACGAUCAACAAUGCCAAAAACUAGCAAACAAAACCAAGCUAACCCCAAUAUCAACACAACGCAAGCUGAUGCACCCCCAUCCAAAAGCGAUCCCCACGAGUUUACAAACUGAACAUAUCUCCAAAAUAGUCAACAUACUCGUACACAAAACAACACAUGCCAACCAAUGGCUCAUACGUCACACCAUGUAAUCUCCAGUAACAAAAACUCGUGGAACGAUUGCUUGAAGUAGGGUGGAAGCAGAACCGUCACAUAUCAACCAAAUCAUAAUUCUAAACCUAUUACACAACAAAUCACAAUCCUACCCAAUCACCCUAACAAAAAUCUAUCAAAAAACUUAUAAAAUCAUCAAAUCUACUUAAAAACCUAACAAAUAGGACCUAAGAGAGUGGGAUAAGGUCCUUACAUGAUUUGUAAAGGAAUGGAAAGGAUUCGCCGGAGAGAUCGUCGCGAGAGAAGGUGGAGAACGCCGGAAGGAGAGAGAGAUCGCCGGAGAGGAAGAAGAGAGAAAUGGGGAAGAAGAGAGAAAUGGGGAAGAAGAUGCGGUUCGAGUUUAUAAAACCUUGGGUCUGACGGAUAUUUUCCGUCGGAAUUCCCUCAGUAUUUUCAAUUUCAAUUUUCGCGAAAUAUUUGGCGGCUUGUUUGCCCGGUUAAAUGAAAAUAUUCCGAGGAAAUUCCGACGGCCACUUAAAUAUCCGUCGAAAUUUCCUCGGAAUAUUUUCAUUAAUUCGAGGAAAAAGAAUAUCCUGUGCAUGUAUUUCUAUUAAUUUGUAUUGUUCCUCGGAAUUCCUCGGAAUAUUCCGAGGAAAUACCGAGGAACUAGUGUUUGGGGUUUCAAAACAUCAAUUUUUUUGCCGUAUUUCAUUUCUUAUACAAUUGUAAUGCAUACCAUUGAAGAUUCUUUGUAUAGAUGAGCAUAAACCAUGAAAUAACAAAUUUCAAAACGAAUUGUAAGUAUUCCCUUUACCGUUCAUUAAAGUGUAUAAGUGUUUCUCUUAUGUUGUGGGGAUUUCGUUCAUACAAUCGGAAAAGUGUUUAUUAUAGGGUAAUGAACAAAUUUUUGACUUCAUAAUGAACGUAAGACACUUAAUAAGGGUUAUAUAGGUGUUAUUCAAACCGCAAAACGUUGUUUUCGGUUUAAAAACCCUAUUUCCUCGGAAUUUCCUCGGAAUAUUCCGAGGAAAUUCCGAGGAAACCCUUUUCUUCCUCAGAAUUCCGUCGAAAUAUUCCGAGGAAAUUCCGAGGAACUAGUGUUUGGGGUUUCAAAACGUCAAUUUUUUUUUAAACGGAUCGAUCGAUGGAUAUAUGUCCAAAAACGCAUCGAUCGAUCACUAAGAUGGACCAAAGCGUAACAAUGUGAUCGAUCGAUGAGAUUAUCCCAUCGAUCGAUCGAGGAUAUCAAGUGUUCCUCGGAAUAUUCCGAGGAAAUUCUGAGGAACUAGUGUUUGAGGUUUCAAAAUCUCGAAUGUUUUUUUAUAAACGGAUCGAUCGAUGUAUUUAUGUCCAAAAACGCAUCGAUCGAUCACUAAGAUGGACCAAAGCGUAACAAUGUGAUCGAUCGAUGAGAUUAUCCCAUCGAUCGAUCGAGGAUAUCAAGUGUUCCUCGGAAUUUCCUCGGAAUAUUCCGAGGAAAUUCCGAGGAACUAGUGUUUGGGGUUUCAAAAUCUCAAAUGUUUUUUUAUAAACGGAUCGAUCGAUGUAUUUAUGUCCAAAAACGCAUCGAUCGAUCACUAGUUCGUCGAAAUUUCCUCGGAAUAUUCCGACGGAUUGAUGUUUCCUCGGAAUUCCGUCGGUAUAUUCCGAGGAAAUUCCGAGGAUUUCAUUUUCCGUCGGAAUGUCCUUCAGAAUACCGAUGUUUUCUUGUAGUGCGUCUUAUGCUUCUCAGAUCAUAACAUCGUGUCAACCAUAAAACAAUGACGAUUGAUCUUUGACGAUCAGCCCAUAACUCAAACGUGACGUGGUGGCUCCGGGACAAUGAACAAAGGUGGUGAUAUCACAACGGUGGCUCUCGGUGCUGGAUUGUUCAUGGGGCACGGACGGUGGCUGGUGAUGAUGAGAUUGACAAGGGUAUGGGUUCGCUGAGCAUAACAUCUCCAUUGGCGGCGC